ACAGCUUGGACAAAAGUCUAUAGCCAGUGAAUUCCUAGCUCCCCUUACACAGAGACAGACACAGUCAGACAGAAGACACGCUGGGUCUCGGCUAGGCUCUCCUCUGCGAGCAGGUGGAACUCUGGAUAUCUAUGGGUCUUGGGCCUGCUGGAAAAGGCAGGCAGGGGAACGCU
rnacentral:sRNA from 1 species